UAGGGAAUAUUAGUAAUGGGCGAAAGCCUGAACUAGCAACACCGCGUGUGCGAAGAAGGCCUUCGGGUCGUAAAGCACUUUUCGGGAGGAUGAGGAAGGACGGUACUCCCGGAAUAAGUCUCGGCUAACUACGUGCCAGCAGCCGCGGUAAAACGUAGGAGGCAAACGUUAUCCGGAUUUACUGGGCGUAAAGCGCGUGUAGGUGGUUUGGUAAGUAGGGCGUGAAAGCUCCUGGCUCAACUGGGAGAGG
rnacentral:rRNA from 1 species